UACGGGGGGGGCAAGCGUUGUUCGGAAUUACUGGGCGUAAAGGGCUCGUAGGCGGCCAACUAAGUCAGACGUGAAAUCCCUCGGCUUAACCGGGGAACUGCGUCUGAUACUGGAUGGCUUGAGUGUAGGAGAGGGAUGCGGAAUUCCAGGUGUAGCGGUGAAAUGCGUAGAUAUCUGGAGGAACACCGGUGGCGAAGGCGGCAUCCUGGACUACUACUGACGCUGAGGAGCGAAAGCAUGGGGAGCGAACAGG
rnacentral:rRNA from 1 species